rnacentral:rRNA from 1 species
CCCAGACUCCUACGGGAGGCAGCAGUGGGGGAUAUUGGACAAUGGGGGGAACCCUGAUCCAGCGACGCCGCGUGAGUGAAGAAGUAUCUCGGUAUGUAAAGCUCUAUCAGCAGGGAAGAAAGAAAUGACGGUACCUGAGUAAGAAGCCCCGGCUAACUACGUGCCAGCAGCCGCGGUCAUACGUAGGAUCCGAGCAUUAUCCGGAGUGACUGGGUGUAAAGAGUUGCGUAGGUGGCAUAAUAAGUAGCUAGUGAAAUCUGGUGGCUCAACCAUUCAGACUAUUAGCUAAACUGUUAAGCUCGAGACCGUUAGGGGUAACUGGAAUUUCUAGUGUAGGAGUGAAAUCCGUAGAUAUUAGAAGGAACACCGAUAGCGUAGGCAGGUUACUGGGACGGUUCUGACACUAAGGCACGAAAGCGUAGGGAGCAAACGGGAUUAGAUACCCCGGUA